AAAUGGUUAAGUUAGAAAGGGCGCACGGUGGAUGCCUUGGCACUAGGAGCCGAUGAAGGACGGGACGAACACCGAUAUGCUUCGGGGAGCUGUAAGCAAGCUUUGAUCCGGAGAUUUCCGAAUGGGGAAACCCACUGCUCGUAAUGGAGUAGUAUCCAUACUUGAAUACAUAGAGUAUGAGAAGGCAUACCCGGGGAACUGAAACAUCUAAGUACCCGGAGGAAGAGAAAGCAAAUGCGAUUCCCUGAGUAGCGGCGAGCGAAACGGGAACAGCCCAAACCAAGAGGCUUGCCUCUUGGGGUUGUAGGACACUCUAUACGGAGUUACAAAGGAACGAUAUAAGCGAAGAGGUCUGGAAAGGCCCGCCAAAGAAGGUAACAGCCCUGUAACUGAAAUGUUGUUCUCUCCAGAGUGGAUCCUGAGUACGGCGGAACACGUGAAAUUCCGUCGGAAUCCGGGAGGACCAUCUCCCAAGGCUAAAUACUCCCUAGUGACCGAUAGUGAACCAGUACCGUGAGGGAAAGGUGAAAAGCACCCCGGAAGGGGAGUGAAAUAGAUCCUGAAACCGUGUGCCUACAAGUAGUCAGAGCCCGUUAACGGGUGAUGGCGUGCCUUUUGUAGAAUGAACCGGCGAGUUACGAUCCCGUGCAAGGUUAAGCAGAAGAUGCGGAGCCGCAGCGAAAGCGAGUCUGAAUAGGGCGCAUGAGUACGUGGUCGUAGACCCGAAACCAGGUGAUCUACCCAUGUCCAGGGUGAAGUUCAGGUAACACUGAAUGGAGGCCCGAACCCACGCACGUUGAAAAGUGCGGGGAUGAGGUGUGGGUAGGGGUGAAAUGCCAAUCGAACCUGGAGAUAGCUGGUUCUCUCCGAAAUAGCUUUAGGGCUAGCCUCAAGGUAAGAGUCUCGGAGGUAGAGCACUGAUUGGACUAGGGGCCCCUACCGGGUUACCGAAUUCAGUCAAACUCCGAAUGCCGAUGACUUAUCCUUGGGAGUCAGACUGCGAGUGAUAAGAUCCGUAGUCGAAAGGGAAACAGCCCAGACCGCCAGCUAAGGUCCCAAAGUAUACGUUAAGUGGAAAAGGAUGUGGAGUUGCUUAGACAACCAGGAUGUUGGCUUAGAAGCAGCCACCAUUUAAAGAGUGCGUAAUAGCUCACUGGUCGAGUGACUCUGCGCCGAAAAUGUACCGGGGCUAAACGUAUCACCGAAGCUGCGGACUGUUCUUACGAACAGUGGUAGGAGAGCGUUCUAAGUGCAGUGAAGUCAGACCGGAAGGACUGGUGGAGCGCUUAGAAGUGAGAAUGCCGGUAUGAGUAGCGAAAGACGGGUGAGAAUCCCGUCCACCGAAUGCCUAAGGUUUCCUGAGGAAGGCUCGUCCGCUCAGGGUUAGUCGGGACCUAAGCCGAGGCCGAAAGGCGUAGGCGAUGGACAACAGGUUGAUAUUCCUGUACCACCUCCUCACCAUUUGAGCAAUGGGGGGACGCAGGAGGAUAGGGUAAGCGCGGUAUUGGAUAUCCGCGUCCAAGCAGUUAGGCUGGGAAAUAGGCAAAUCCGUUUCCCGUGAAGGCUGAGCUGUGAUGGCGAGCGAAAUUUAGUAGCGAAGUUCCUGAUUCCACACUGCCAAGAAAAGCCUCUAGCGAGGUGAGAGGUGCCCGUACCGCAAACCGACACAGGUAGGCGAGGAGAGAAUCCUAAGGUGAUCGAGAGAACUCUCGUUAAGGAACUCGGCAAAAUGACCCCGUAACUUCGGGAGAAGGGGUGCUUCUUAGGGUGUUAAAGCCCCGAGAAGCCGCAGUGAAUAGGCCCAGGCGACUGUUUAGCAAAAACACAGGUCUCUGCGAAGCCGUAAGGCGAAGUAUAGGGGCUGACGCCUGCCCGGUGCUGGAAGGUUAAGAGGAGCGCUUAGCGUAAGCGAAGGUGCGAAUUGAAGCCCCAGUAAACGGCGGCCGUAACUAUAACGGUCCUAAGGUAGCGAAAUUCCUUGUCGGGUAAGUUCCGACCCGCACGAAAGGCGCAACGAUCUGGGCACUGUCUCAACGAGAGACUCGGUGAAAUUAUAGUACCUGUGAAGAUGCAGGUUACCCGCGACAGGACGGAAAGACCCCGUGGAGCUUUACUGCAGCCUGAUAUUGAAUGUUGGUACAGCUUGUACAGGAUAGGUAGGAGCCUUGGAAACCGGAGCGCUAGCUUCGGUGGAGGCAUCGGUGGGAUACUACCCUGGCUGUAUUGACCUUCUAACCCGCUGCCCUUAUCGGGCAGGGAGACAGUGUCAGGUGGGCAGUUUGACUGGGGCGGUCGCCUCCUAAAAUGUAACGGAGGCGCCCAAAGGUUCCCUCAGAAUGGUUGGAAAUCAUUCGCAGAGUGUAAAGGCACAAGGGAGCUUGACUGCGAGACCUACAAGUCGAGCAGGGACGAAAGUCGGGCUUAGUGAUCCGGUGGUUCCGCAUGGAAGG
rnacentral:rRNA from 2 species